AUGAUAAUUCUAAGGAAAGAUGCUGCCAAAAUAUCGGUAGGAAAUUGACGAAAAUAUAAGGGGACAUUCUGUUCGAUUGAAAAGAGAAAAUUGAACUAUUUAUAAAGGGAGACUCUGCCAAAGUGACUAGAGAAAUUUGAAGAAAAAUGUAAGGGGAGACUCUUACAAAAUAAAGAGAGAGCUUAAGUUGAUUGCACCGGACCUGAGUAAGUGGGUAUUAUGAUUGCAUGGCCUAUGUAGUU
rnacentral:lncRNA from 1 species